UAUUUAGAAGACAUCUGAAGAAUACCAAAGGUUUACCGGUAUGGGAUGGGGAUGCGUCUGAUUAGCUUGUUGGCGGGGUAACGGCCCACCAAGGCAACGAUCAGUAGGGGUUCUGAGAGGAAGGUCCCCCACAUUGGUACUGAGACACGGACCAAACUCCUACGGGAGGCAGCAGUGAGGAAUAUUGGUCAAUGGGCGAGAGCCUGAACCAGCCAAGUAGCGUGCAGGAUGACGGCCCUAUGGGUUGUAAACUGCUUUUGUACGGGAAUAAAGUGUGGGACGUGUCCCAUUUUUGUAUGUACCGUAAGAAUAAGGACCGGCUAAUUCCGUGCCAGCAGCCGCGGUAAUACGGAAGGUCCGGGCGUUAUCCGGAUUUAUUGGGUUUAAAGGGAGCGCAGGCUGGAGAUUAAGCGUGACGUGAAAUGCCGCGGCUCAACCGUGGAAGUGCGUCGCGAACUGGUUUCCUUGAGUG
rnacentral:rRNA from 1 species